rnacentral:rRNA from 1 species
UACGUAGGGUGCGAGCGUUAAUCGGAAUAACUGGGCGUAAAGCGUGCGCAGGCGGCUUUGCAAGACAGAUGUGAAAUCCCCGGGCUCAACCUGGGAACUGCAUUUGUGACUGCAAGGCUAGAGUACGGCAGAGGGGGAUGGAAUUCCGCGUGUAGCAGUGAAAUGCGUAGAUAUGCGGAGGAACACCAAUGGCGAAGGCAAUCCCCUGGGCCUGUACUGACGCUCAUGCACGAAAGCGUGGGGAGCAAACAGG